AGCUUGCUCCCGUAAGUUAGCGGCGGACGGGUGAGUAACACGUGGGCAACCUGCCUAUAAGACUGGGAUAACUUCGGGAAACCGGAGCUAAUACCGGAUAAUUCCUUUCCUCACAUGGGGGAAGGCUGAAAGAUGGUUUACGCUAUCACUUAUAGAUGGGCCCGCGGCGCAUUAGCUAGUUGGUGAGGUAAUGGCUCACCAAGGCAACGAUGCGUAGCCGACCUGAGAGGGUGAUCGGCCACACUGGGACUGAGACACGGCCCAGACUCCUACGGGAGGCAGCAGUAGGGAAUCUUCCGCAAUGGACGAAAGUCUGACGGAGCAACGCCGCGUGAGUGAUGAAGGUUUUCGGAUCGUAAAACUCUGUUGUUAGGGAAGAACAAGUACCGGAGUAACUGCCGGUACCUUGACGGUACCUAACCAGAAAGCCACGGCUAACUACGUGCCAGCAGCCGCGGUAAUACGUAGGUGGCAAGCGUUGUCCGGAAUUAUUGGGCGUAAAGCGCGCGCAGGCGGUCCUUUAAGUCUGAUGUGAAAGCCCACGGCUCAACCGUGGAGGGUCAUUGGAAACUGGGGGACUUGAGUACAGAAGAGAAGAGUGGAAUUCCACGUGUAGCGGUGAAAUGCGUAGAGAUGUGGAGGAACACCAGUGGCGAAGGCGACUCUUUGGUCUGUAACUGACGCUGAGGCGCGAAAGCGUGGGGAGCAAACAGG
rnacentral:rRNA from 1 species